rnacentral:rRNA from 1 species
GAUGAACGCUGGCGGCGUGCCUAAUACAUGCAAGUCGAGCGAACAGACGAGGAGCUUGCUCCUCUGACGUUAGCGGCGGACGGGUGAGUAACACGUGGAUAACCUACCUAUAAGACUGGGAUAACUUCGGGAAACCGGAGCUAAUACCGGAUAAUAUAUUGAACCGCAUGGUUCAAUAGUGAAAGACGGUUUUGCUGUCACUUAUAGAUGGAUCCGCGCCGCAUUAGCUAGUUGGUAAGAUAACGGCUUACCAAGGCAACGAUGCGUAACCGACCUGAGAGGGUGAUCGGCCACACUGGAACUGAGACACGGUCCAGACUCCUACGGGAGGCAGCAGUAGGGAAUCUUCCGCAAUGGGCGAAAGCCUGACGGAGCAACGCCGCGUGAGUGAUGAAGGUCUUCGGAUCGUAAAACUCUGUUAUUAGGGAAGAACAAAUGUGUAAGUAACUAUGCACGUCUUGACGGUACCUAAUCAGAAAGCCACGGCUAACUACGUG